rnacentral:rRNA from 1 species
GUUGUAUGGUUAAGUGACUAAGCGUACACGGUGGAUGCCUGGGCAGUCAGAGGCGAUGAAGGACGUACUAACUUGCGAUAAGCGCAGAUAAGGCAGUAAGAGCCGUUUGAGUCUGCGAUUUCCGAAUGGGGAAACCCAACUGCAUAAGCAGUUACUGUUAACUGAAUACAUAGGUUAACAGAGCAAACCGGGGGAAACUGAAACAUCUAAGUACCCCGAGGAGAAGAAAUCAACCGAGAUUCCGGUAGUAGCGGCGAGCGAACCUGGAUUAGCCCUUAAGCACUCGGUGAAGUAGGUGAACAAGCUGGAAAGCUUGGCGAUACAGGGUGAUAGCCCCGUAACCGACGCUUCAUCGAGCGUGAAAUCGAGUAGGGCGGGACACGUGAUAUCCUGUCUGAAUAUGGGGGGACCAUCCUCCAAGGCUAAAUACUCCUGACUGACCGAUAGUGAACCAGUACCGUGAGGGAAAGGCGAAAAGAACCCCUGUGAGGGGAGUGAAAUAGAACCUGAAACCGUGUACGUACAAGCAGUAGGAGCACCUUCGUGGUGUGACUGCGUACCUUUUGUAUAAUGGGUCAGCGACUUAUAUUCAGUGGCAAGGUUAACCGUAUAGGGGAGCCGUAGCGAAAGCGAGUCUUAACUGGGCGCUCAGUCUCUGGAUAUAGACCCGAAACCGGGUGAUCUAGCCAUGGGCAGGUUGAAGGUUGAGUAACAUCAACUGGAGGACCGAACCGACUAAUGUUGAAAAAUUAGCGGAUGACUUGUGGCUAGGGGUGAAAGGCCAAUCAAACUCGGAGAUAGCUGGUUCUCCCCGAAAGCUAUUUAGGUAGCGCCUCGGACGAAUACUACUGGGGGUAGAGCACUGUUAAGGCUAGGGGGUCAUCCCGACUUACCAACCCUUUGCAAACUCCGAAUACCAGUAAGUACUAUCCGGGAGACACACGGCGGGUGCUAACGUCCGUCGUGGAGAGGGAAACAACCCAGACCGCCAGCUAAGGUCCCAAAGUAUUGCUAAGUGGGAAACGAUGUGGGAAGGCUCAGACAGCUAGGAUGUUGGCUUAGAAGCAGCCAUCAUUUAAAGAAAGCGUAAUAGCUCACUAGUCGAGUCGGCCUGCGCGGAAGAUGUAACGGGGCUAAGCAAUACACCGAAGCUGCGGCAAUGUCUUUUAGACAUUGGGUAGGGGAGCGUUCUGUAAGCCGUUGAAGGUGAAUCGUAAGGUUUGCUGGAGGUAUCAGAAGUGCGAAUGCUGACAUGAGUAACGACAAAGGGGGUGAAAAACCUCCUCGCCGGAAGACCAAGGGUUCCUGUCCAACGUUAAUCGGGGCAGGGUGAGUCGACCCCUAAGGUGAGGCCGAAAGGCGUAAUCGAUGGGAAACGGGUUAAUAUUCCCGUACUUCUGACUAUUGCGAUGGGGGGACGGAGAAGGCUAGGUGGGCCAGGCGACGGUUGUCCUGGUUCAAGUGCGUAGGCUUGAGAGUUAGGUAAAUCCGGCUCUCUCUAAGGCUGAGACACGACGUCGAGCUACUACGGUAGUGAAGUCAUUGAUGCCAUGCUUCCAGGAAAAGCCUCUAAGCUUCAGAUAGUCAGGAAUCGUACCCCAAACCGACACAGGUGGUCGGGUAGAGAAUACCAAGGCGCUUGAGAGAAACUCGGGUGAAGGAACUAGGCAAAAUGGUACCGUAACUUCGGGAGAAGGUACGCUCUUGAUGGUGAAGUCCCUCGCGGAUGGAGCUGACGAGAGUCGCAGAUACCAGGUGGCUGCAACUGUUUAUUAAAAACACAGCACUGUGCAAAAUCGCAAGAUGACGUAUACGGUGUGACGCCUGCCCGGUGCCGGAAGGUUAAUUGAUGGGGUUAGCGCAAGCGAAGCUCUUGAUCGAAGCCCCGGUAAACGGCGGCCGUAACUAUAACGGUCCUAAGGUAGCGAAAUUCCUUGUCGGGUAAGUUCCGACCUGCACGAAUGGCGUAAUGAUGGCCACGCUGUCUCCACCCGAGACUCAGUGAAAUUGAAAUCGCUGUGAAGAUGCAGUGUACCCGCGGCUAGACGGAAAGACCCCGUGAACCUUUACUACAGCUUGGCACUGAACAUUGAACCUACAUGUGUAGGAUAGGUGGGAGGCUAUGAAGACGUGACGCCAGUUGCGUUGGAGCCGUCCUUGAAAUACCACCCUUGUAUGUUUGAUGUUCUAACUUAGACCCAUUAUCUGGGUUGAGGACAGUGCCUGGUGGGUAGUUUGACUGGGGCGGUCUCCUCCCAAAGAGUAACGGAGGAGCACGAAGGUGGGCUAAUCACGGUUGGACAUCGUGAGGUUAGUGCAAUGGCAUAAGCCCGCUUAACUGCGAGAAUGACGGUUCGAGCAGGUGCGAAAGCAGGUCAUAGUGAUCCGGUGGUUCUGUAUGGAAGGGCCAUCGCUCAACGGAUAAAAGGUACUCCGGGGAUAACAGGCUGAUACCGCCCAAGAGUUCAUAUCGACGGCGGUGUUUGGCACCUCGAUGUCGGCUCAUCACAUCCUGGGGCUGAAGUCGGUCCCAAGGGUAUGGCUGUUCGCCAUUUAAAGUGGUACGCGAGCUGGGUUUAGAACGUCGUGAGACAGUUCGGUCCCUAUCUGCCGUGGGCGUUGGAAGAUUGAAGGGGGCUGCUCCUAGUACGAGAGGACCGGAGUGGACGAACCUCUGGUGUUCGGGUUGUGUCGCCAGACGCAUUGCCCGGUAGCUAAGUUCGGAAUUGAUAAGCGCUGAAAGCAUCUAAGCGCGAAGCGAGCCCUGAGAUGAGUCUUCCCUGAUACUUUAAGUAUCCUAAAGGGUUGUUCGAGACUAGAACGUUGAUAGGCAGGGUGUGUAAGCGUUGUGAGGCGUUGAGCUAACCUGUACUAAUUGCCCGUGAGGCUUAACCAUACAACACCCAAGGGGUUUUGUA